rnacentral:rRNA from 1 species
UACGUAGGGUGCGAGCGUUGUCCGGAAUUAUUGGGCGUAAAGAGCUUGUAGGUGGCUCGUCGCGUCGGGAGUGAAAACCCGCGGCUUAACCGCGGGCCUGCUUUCGAUACGGGCGGGCUAGAGUUCGGCAGGGGAGACUGGAAUUCCUGGCGUAGCGGUGGAAUGCGCAGAUAUCAUGAGGAACACCGGUGGCGAAGGCGGGUCUCUGGGCCGAUACUGACGCUGAGGAGCGAAAGCAUGGGGAGCGAACAGG